UACAGAGGGGGCAAGCGUUAUUCGGAAUUAUUGGGCGUAAAGGGCGCGUAGGCGGCUUGGCAAGUGGAUGGUGAAAUCCCUCGGCUUAACCGAGGAACUGCCGUCCAAACUGCUUGGCUUGAGACCGGGAGAGGUGAGUGGAAUUCCCAGUGUAGCGGUGAAAUGCGUAGAUAUUGGGAGGAACACCAGUGGCGAAGGCGGCUCACUGGACCGGUACUGACGCUGAGGAGCGAAAGCGUGGGGAGCGAACAGG
rnacentral:rRNA from 1 species